GCGCCGUCCCCCGGAGGCGUCUGGGUGUGCGGAGCGCGCGCGCGCGGCUCGGAGGCGCACCUGUGUGGUGUCCCCGGAGGAACGGAGGGUGGGCGCGCGGAGCCCGCGGCCUGGGGCGCUCGCAGCCCGCACUUGGACGCGCAGGCCGCGGAGCAUCGCGCUCAGGUGAUGAAGAGCGCGUCGCGCACCCGGCACAGGAGCCAGCCGCCGCCGGACGCCUCCAUUGUUUGACCACGCCAGGCCGGCCCUGCCCAGCAGGAUCCUCAGGCUGGAGGAAGUCGCCUGCUCUUGCACCCUGCAUCCACUGUGGGCCCUGCCUCUGCCUCCUCUUCUGGAAUGUCUUGAGGGUUCUGAUUCCUGUCACUGUGACCUGCAAAUCCAAGAGACACGUCCCUCUGGAAGAGAAGAGAGCUGUGUCCUCAGGAUUAAAAAAGAAGACUGGUGUGCUACCUGUGUAGAAAUUCCCAGGAGCAAGACUCGCCACACCUGAGCUCACUGUAAAGGCUAUGCAGCUGUGCAGGAGCAGAAGGAUGUACUGACCGUCGUAGGGGAGGCUGCGGAUGCUCAUGACCAUCAGUGCUCUCUCACCCUCGAAAACUGGGUGCACACUGUGCGGUCCUUUUCUAGACGUGAGAAGUACAAGAUUACUCUAUGAGAGGAAGACUCCAGGGGCUUAAAGACACGUGCACCUUGGCCACCCCUUGGAAUGUUGACGACUCAGGAUCUAAAGGAAAUUCUGUGUUAGAGUAUGGAAUUCAUGUGGAAGUCAAUGUCACUUUAUAAUCGGUAAUAACACUGAGUAAGGAACACUAUGCAGGAAGAAACCUUCCAUAGAAAGACAGGCAGGGAAAAGCUUAGGCCGACCUUAAACUUGCCCAGCAGCUUAAGCCUGAGAUAGGCUGCCAGAAUGGCCAAAUAAGAGACUCUAUGAAGUAGCAGUCCUGUAACUGUAGUAGUUGUAAGGAAAUUUUCUCCUCUAAAUCACGAUACCAAAUAGGAAAAAUGAUCUACAAGUGCCCCAUGUGUAGGGAAUUUUUCUCUGAGAGAGCAGAUCUCUUUAUGCAUCAGAAAAUCCACACGGCCGAGAAGCCCCACAAAUGUGACAAGUGUGAUAAGGGUUUCUUUCACAUAUCAGAACUUCACAUUCAUUGGCGAGACCACACGGGAGAGAAGGUCUAUAAAUGUGAUGAUUGUGGUAAGGAUUUUAGCACCACAACAAAACUUAAUAGACAUAAGAAAAUCCACACAGUGGAGAAGCCCUAUAAAUGUUAUGAGUGUGGCAAAGCCUUCAAUUGGAGCUCCCAUCUUCAAAUUCAUAUGAGAGUUCAUACAGGCGAGAAACCCUAUGUCUGUAGUGAGUGUGGAAGGGGCUUCAGUAACAGUUCAAACCUUUGCAUGCACCAGAGAGUCCACACCGGAGAGAAACCCUUCAAAUGUGAAGAGUGUGGGAAGGCCUUCAGGCACACCUCCAGCCUCUGCAUGCAUCAAAGAGUCCACACCGGGGAGAAACCUUAUAAAUGUUAUGAGUGUGGGAAGGCCUUCAGUCAGAGCUCCAGCCUCUGCAUCCACCAGAGAGUCCACACUGGAGAGAAACCUUAUAGGUGUUGUGGGUGUGGGAAGGCCUUCAGUCAGAGCUCCAGCCUCUGCAUCCACCAGAGGGUACACACAGGAGAGAAACCUUUUAAAUGUGAUGAGUGUGGGAAGGCCUUUAGUCAGAGUACCAGCCUCUGCAUCCAUCAGAGAGUCCACACCAAGGAGAGAAACCAUCUCAAAAUAUCAGUUAUAUAAAAUGUUUUGCUAAGAAUUAAAAAAUCUUAAAACCCAUAAGUGCCACUAGGAAGGAAACCCUGUAUGUACCUACAUUGACCCAAGGAGUAUUCACGGCAGUCCCUAGCAGAAUGUUCUUUUUGAGGAGGCAUAGGUGAGGUUGAGGUUUUGAUCCAUUGAUUCAUACCAGGUGUGUCCCACAGCUUGACUUUGAAUAUGGAGUCCUUCUGAGCAUGUGCCCAAGACGGGUGGGCUGUCUUGCAUCCCAGGUGUGGAUUUUGUAUCCUGGAACUCCACGAUGCCUCAAUAAUUGAAGUACUGCUCAGAACUCCUGAGCAUUGCCAGCCUCCAAGUCACCUUGUGUCUGUGCUGUGCUUAGAAGUGAUCCCAGAUGAUCCCUCUCAGGAGCUCUUUCUCCUUCCUUCCUCUCGAGCCUUCUGGUCAAUGCAUUUGAAAAUGGACAGCUCCCGCUAAGAUCGUGUUCUGGCAUUUCUGAGCUUGCCACAUUACAGCCCUACGUAGCUUUCCAUAUAUCCCGUGACUUCUGAACCCACUUUACCUCACAUCCUCACAGUACCCAUAAUUCCCCACCCCUUCCUAGGUGGCAUUAAAUUUCAUUUUAGAUUUUAGGCAACUCAUAAUAUCCAUUCACUUGGCCUCAGAGAAAUCACUGGCAGACACACAUGCCCUGGGACUUUUCUUUAGUUGUGGAUUCUGCUAAUCACUGUGUCUAUAUGUUAGACUUAUUUUCUUAGUGGCUGCAUCACAACAUUUUUUAACUUGAAUUUUUUUUUUCUUUUAAUAGCUGAAUGUAAAUAGCAGGGACAAAGAAGCAAAGCAAGGUAUGAGCUUGUCUUCCCUCCAGAGGCACCCGCAGGCUCCCUUAUGCCCUGUGGGGAGCCCCUCUAAGCCAGGGAGCCCUUAGGAAAGGGAUGGUGGGAGAGGUCACUAAGGAUGUGUGUCUGUUUCUGUCACCUUGGGCAGUACUGUGUAGGAGCCAUUGGGGGUCAGGUGCCAGCUCUUGCUAGGCAUGGAUGUCUGUUGUCAGUCCAUCAUCUUUUCAUUCUUCGUGCAUUGGACAAGAAUUUAUUGAACACCUGCUGGGUGCUGGGAAUGCCACUGAAUCCGACAGACGAGGUCCCUGCUCUCGUGGAGUGUACUUCUGGUGGAGACAGAUGAUAAGCAAGUGAACAUUAAAAAUGUAGUCUGAGGUAGUGGUUAAGUGCUAUGAAGAAAAUAAACUAGGGUGGUGAUGUAGAGGUGGGGGGUGGGGGGCAUUAGCUAGGGUCGGGGAGCCUUGCUGAGGGCAGCUGGGACUGGGCAGGCACAGAGGUGGCGCACCAGUGGGACCACGCAGGUGCCGCUGGGUGCUGCCUGCCCUGGCAGACAAAAGGCAGGCGCUGGAGGUAGCGGCGGUGGCGGGAGGGGGAGGGAUGCUGAGCUCUCAGUGUCCAGACUUUGUAGGCCUGUUACGUUUUAUUUGUUUUGCUAGAUAUUAAAAACUCAUGUGGAGGAACUCAAGGAAUGUUUAGAAGACCAAAAGUCCCCAAUGACAAGAACAAAAAGCAACCCAUGUUUUCCUCAUUUCUCAUUCCUGUCAUUGAUUUCCCACAGGCAGGCCUUUUGCUCAGGAAGUCUUUGGGGAAACUAGGAUCUUUGAAGCUCUGAAAUGGGUGGUCAGGUUGGUGGUGUCUGUCAGCUGUCUAAGUUGGAAAAUGAAUUCAAGAUAGUCGUGGAAAUACUGUAUCUGAGCUUGGUUUUCCCUCCAUGUUUGAAUUCGUUUCUUCUGUUUGGCUGGAAGGGGUUUUUGCAUAACUAAAACCUCCAUGCAUAAAGGAGAUUUAAAAGGAGCACAGGAUUCAGUGGGUGGGCCAUGAGGUGAGAGGUGGGACUUGGAGAUAAAUUUAGUCCGUAUGCCUCUGCUGAGAGUUUGCUGAGUUGCUUCACAGGUAUUUCCUCCUUUUUGUGAAGAAGAGGGCUGCUUUAGUUAUCUGCUGAAGCCCCUUCCAGGCCUGAAGUCACAACUGCGGUUUACUGUAGUGUCUUAUCACUCUUCAUGUCACAGUAGCGUGGAGCAUUAGAGAAAAGCCUAGACUUUUAGUUGAUAGAGAGCCAGUUGAAAUAUCAUUGAUAGAAUUUUAGUUUUUAGGAAAAAUUGGUUUGAUUUCUAGUUUUAUUACUAUUAGGUAUGUGAGCUUGGGCAGAUCGCUUGAUCUUUGAGUCUAGUUUUCUCACAAAAUGAGGAUAUUAGGCUAAAUGAUUUCCGAGUUUCCAGCUAGUCCUAGAGUUCUAUAUUUCUACAUAGUUGAAUUAUUUUAUCAUGCUGUUGCUGGGGAAUAUGACUAACACUUUUGAAGCUACUAAUUUUAUGUCAAGCUUUAAAGUCCAUAAUUGUUAUCUUCAGAAAAUAUUAUUUGACCUACAGUAUGUCCAAAUCAAUUUAAUAAAAUCACUUUAUAACAGG